rnacentral:rRNA from 1 species
UUUUAAAUGGCCGCAGUAUUUUGACUGUGCAAAGGUAGCAUAAUCAUUAGUUUUUUAAUUAAAAGCUUGUAUGAAAGGCUGGACGAGGUAAAAUCUGUCUCUAUUUAAAUUAUAGUAGAAUUUAACUUUUAAGUCAAAAGGCUUAAAUGUUAUUAAAAGACGAGAAGACCCUAUAGAUCUUUAUAGUUUAUUAAAUUAAAUUAAUUUAGAAAUGUUAAUGUUUUAUUUAAUUAAAUUAUUUUAUUGGGGUAAUAAAAAGAUUGAAUUAAUUCUUUUUUAUAAUAAACAUUAAUUUAUGAAUAUUAAUGAUCCAGUUUUACUGAUUAUAAGAUUAAGUUACCUUAGGGAUAACAGCGUAAUUUUUUUAGAUAGUUCAUAUCGAUAAAAAAGUUUGCGACCUCGAUGUUGGAUUAAAGAUUAUUUUAGGUGUAGAAGCUUAAUAAUUUUGGUCUGUUCGACCAUUAAAUCUUUACAUGAUCUGAGUUCAGACCGGCGUAAGCCAGGUCGGUUUCUAUCUUUAAUAAAACAAAAUAUUUUAGUACGAAAGGACCAAAUAUUUGAUAUAUUUAUAUUUCAUUCAUUGAAUAUUA